CGGAGGAUCCAAGCGUUAUCCGGAUUAUUGGUUAAGGUGCGUAGGCGGCCUAUUAAGUCAGGGUGAAGACGGUAGCUCAACUAUCGCAGUGCCUUUGAUACUGAUGGGCUUGAAUGAACUAGAGGUAGGCGGAAUGAGACAAGUAGCGGUGAAAUGCAUAGAUAUGUCUCAGAACACCGAUUGCGAAGGCAGCUUACUAUGGUUUAAUUGACGCUGAGGCACGAAAGCGUGGGAUCAAACAGGAUU
rnacentral:rRNA from 1 species